rnacentral:lncRNA from 1 species
CCUUGCCAGGCAGAUACAAAUUUUUACACAUAUAUGACCAUGUUCUUUGAUCUUGAGUUAUCAAUACAACUAAAAUGUUCAUGUCCAGCAUACUCCCAAGUAUCUAAAUGUUUUCUGACAAAUGUGAAAACAUACAUCACAAAUGUAGGACAUGUUCUGAAUAUAAAACUAAAUGUACCAUUAGUUGACAUAAACAAAAAUAGGUUUGAGUCAUGAUAACUAUAAAUAUUCAUCUACUCUUCAAAACUGAGAUACCUUUCAAGAUCUCUUUAUUACAACAAAACACAAUCCUCUAACUAAUUUCACUCUGAAGAACUAAGCUGUAAUUCUUUUACAGGGAUCUUUACCAGGCCAAAGCCCUUAAUUUGUGAGAGCAUUUCACCUGCAAUAGGAGAAACAAGAAACCAGCCAACAAAUAUUUAUUGAGCAAGCACCUUUAUGCCUAGUACUAUACUAGGUAUUGUGGGAUAUGGAGGAAUAAAUUAGGAGUGAGGAUUUGUGACUAGGACCUGGGAUUUCAUUGAUAGAGGGAGCCCAAGGAUGAAAAAACUCCCGCUAACCCCGUAGAUCUGCCCCUUAACUGCCUGGAAUUUGUGGGGUUAAAUGAUACAUCCCAUGGCUGCCUCUUCCAGAAAGGUAUAGAUGCUCUCCAAGAGCUGAAAAUCUGGUUAAGACGACAAAACAUGAAGUAUAAUAAUUCUGAAAAGGGAAGUAAUUGAUUGCUAAAAGCUUCAUGGAGAAGAAGGUGGGAUCUGAGCUAUGGUUUUAACCAACAGAAUUCCAAGAAAAGAGAUGGGAAAGAUUUCUAGGUUGACCAGAAUGAAUUUUCAAAUGGCAAGGUGCAACUAUAGUUUCUAAAACGUUCUCAAAUUCCCCAAUCAUGUCACCAAAUAGUUAAUUUAAACAAUAAUUUGGCUGGUGAAGGCCACAUUGAAGGGGAUCUUGGAACGAUUCUAUGAACUGCUGUAACAGCCAAAUAAGAUUCCUCAUAUGCCAUAAAUGUA